GGAGGGUGCAAGCGUUAUUCGGAUUUAUUGGGCGUAAAGGGCGUGUAGGCGGUUUGAAUAGUCAGGUGUGAAAGCCCUUGGCUUAACCAAGGAAGUGCACUUGAAACUUUCAGACUUGAGUACGGGAGGGGGAAGUGGAAUUCCUGGUGUAGAGGUGAAAUUCGCAGAUAUCAGGAGGAAUACCGGUGGCGAAGGCGACUUCCUGGACCGAUACUGACGCUGAGACGCGAAAGCGUGGGGAGCAAACAGGAUUAGAUACCCUGGUAGUCCACGCCGUAAACGAUGGGCACUAGGUGUAGCGGGUAUUGACCCCUGCUGUGCCGAAGUUAACGCAUUAAGUGCCCCGCCUGGGGAGUACGGCCGCAAGGUUG
rnacentral:rRNA from 1 species